rnacentral:tRNA from 1 species
AGGGGUAUAGCUCAUCUGGUAGAGCGUCGGUCUCCAAAACCGAAUGUUGAGGGUUCGAGUCCUUCUACCCCUGCCA